rnacentral:rRNA from 1 species
UACAGAGGUCUCAAGCGUUGUUCGGAAUUACUGGGCGUAAAGGGCUCGUAGGCGGCCAACUAAGUCAGACGUGAAAUCCCUCGGCUUAACCGGGGAACUGCGUCUGAUACUGGAUGGCUUGAGAUUGGGAGAGGGAUGCGGAAUUCCAGGUGUAGCGGUGAAAUGCGUAGAUAUCUGGAGGAACACCCGUGGCGAAGGCGGCUACUGUCGGUCGU